rnacentral:rRNA from 1 species
GAUGAACGCUAGCUACAGGCUUAACACAUGCAAGUCGCGGGGCAGCAUGGGGGUUGCUUGCAAUCCCCGAUGGCGACCGGCGCACGGGUGAGUAACGCGUAUCCAACCUGCCCUUCACCACGGGAUAACCCGGCGAAAGUCGGACUAAUACCGUAUGUUGUCCAUUGACGGCAUCCGAUUUGGACGAAAGGCUUGGCGGUGAGGGAUGGGGAUGCGUCCGAUUAGCCAGACGGCGGGGUAACGGCCCACCGUGGCUACGAUCGGUAGGGGUUCUGAGAGGAAGGUCCCCGACACUGGAACUGAGACACGGUCCAGACUCCUACGGGAGGCAGCAGUGAGGAAUAUUGGUCAAUGGGCGUAAGCCUGAACCAGCCAAGUAGCGUGCAGGAUGACGGCCCUAUGGGUUGUAAACUGCUUUUAUGCGGGGAUAAAGUGGCCCACGUGUGGGCUUUUGCAGGUACCGCAUGAAUAAGGACCGGCUAAUUCCGUG